rnacentral:sRNA from 1 species
AGUGCGGAGGAGGCGCGGCAGGGGCACGGGCUGUUGUUGCAGGGCGGCAGGGCGGCCCAGACAGGACGCCUUGCCUCCUUUCUCUCCUACAACCGCUUUUUAAAAAUCUGUUUCUGUUUUUAGCAGCCGCUGCGGGCCUCGGCGUCCUCCACCUACGGGGAUGACCUGGCUUCUGUGGCCCCGAGGCAUUUACAGCAGGACGUGAAGCUGAAUGGAGCCGGCCUUGAGGUGGUGGACUCAGACCCUGAGCCUGAAGGGGAGGCGGAGGACAGGUAGCAGCUGGGCCCAACCCAGAAAACAGAGACAUAGGCUCAAUAUCUCCCCACCUCCCUCCCCUACCAACCUCCCCCGACGACCUGCCUCGACCCCCGUCCCCCGCGCCCCGACCCCCCACAGGUAGUGGGAGUGACUCAGGGUCAGAGGCUCAGAGUUCCUGGGGACAAAGUGGGACAUUCAUCCUCUCACCACCCUGGCCCACGCAACGCCCACCAGCGCACGCGCGUGUGUGUGUAUGUGUGCGCGCGUGUGUAUGUGUGUGUGUGUGCGCGCGUGUGUGUAUGUGUGUGUGCGCGCCCGCGCGCGCAUACGGUUCAAGGAUCCCUUAUCGGAAAUGCUUGGGACCAGCAGUGUUUCGGAUUUCAGAUUUUUUCAGAUUUCAGAAUGCUUGCAUUAUAUAGUUAGCUAAGGUUCAGCAUCCCUAAUCUAAAAAUCUGAAAUGCCCCAAUGAGCAUUGCCUUUGAGCACGUCAAGUCGCUGCUCAAAAAGAUUUGGAUUUUGGAACAUUUCAGAUUUAGGAUUUUUGGACUAGGGAAGUUUUGCCUGUAGUUAGCAGUGUGCGGUUUCCUCGUGGGCAGAUUUGUGUCAUCUCAACCAUAGUCAACAAACAGCCCAUCUGCACAGGAUCCUUCCAGCUGCUCUUCCAUAACUCAUCUCUACUCUCAACACCUGCAACCACUAAGCCAUUUUCCCCCCUACCCGUCUGUAAUUUUGUCAUUUCGAGAAUGCCAGGUAAAUGGAAUCAGAGUGGAUAAUCUUUGGAGCAUGAUUCCCUUGCAUUCACCUGUGAUGUUUCAUGUAUCCAUAGUUUAUUCUUUUUUUUAAUCUGGGCUCACUGCAAUCUCCGCCUCCCGGGUUCAAGCAAUUCUCCUGUCUCAGCCUCCCCAGCAGCUGGGAUUACAGGGGCCCGCCACCACGCCCGGCUAAUUUUUUUUGUAUUUUUAGUAGAGGCGGGGUUUCACCAUGUUGGCCAGGCUGGUCUUGAACUCUUGACGUCAGAUGAUCCACCCGCGUUGGCCUCCCAAAGCGCUGGUAUUGCAGGCAUGAGCCACCGUGCCCUGCCUAUUCUUAUUUUUGAAACGAGAUCUCACUGUAUGGCCCAGGCUGGAGCGUAGCGGUGUGGUCAUGGCUCACUGCAGCCUCGACCUCCUGAGCUCAAGUGAUCCUCUUGCCUCAGCCUCCUGAGUAGAUGGAUCACAGGAACACACUACCACCACGCCCAGCUAGUGUGUGUGUGUGUGUGUGUGUGUGUGUUAGAGAUGGGGUCUCUGUAUGUUACCCAAGCUGGAGUGCCAUAGCUGUUCAUAGACGUGAUCAUUGUGCACUGCAGCCUCAAACUCCUGGGCUCAAGCGAUCCUCCCAUCUCAGCCUCCCAAAGCUUUGGGAUUACAGGCAUCAGCCACUGUGCCCGGCCUGGAGUUUGUUCUUUUGUAUUGCUGGGUAGUGUUCUAUGGGUAGCUUUUCUAUUUGGUUGGUGGUCUGACACAAGCCACUCCCCUCUUACCGCACGUGGACACCCAGAGCCCAUCACUGUGGUCCACUGGAAGGGGAAAGGAGACAGAGUUGUGCAGUGCCAGGCCUGGGCCAUGUGUCCCCCUCCCAGUUGGGGUUCUGCCAUCUACAUGAGGAGGUGGCAGCUGGCCUGAGCCCCGUGGAGGUGGGUUCAGGAAAGGGGUGUGGGGUCCCAUCCCGAAGUCCUGGCAGCCCCAUAGGAAUCUUUCUCCUUCUCUCCUGGCCAGUCAGAGCGGCUUCUCUUCCUAACGGCUGCCCUGCUGAGAGCAGGACGACACCAUCCGGCUGCAUCCUGUCCCUAUCAGCCUGUGACUCUGCCUGGUGCGUGGGCAGACCUCAGCCCAGGUGACACCUGCCUCUAAAUGAACCCAAGGAACAGAAUGGCAGAGAUCUGCCCGUCCCUAGGAUGAGACUCUUGGGAGCCAGGUGUGGGCUCAGCAGUCACCGGUGUGGUGCAGGGGGUCCAGCUGGAGGUCCCUUGGGAGAUCCCCCACCUUCCCAGCUACAGCUGGAGCUCCAAGCACCCCAACCCCCCAGCCUUGGAGUUGGACAUCAUUUUCCUGGGGCCACGGCGGCUCCCACAGCCUGACAUUCUGUUCCCGGGAGAAGAAACGUUCCCAGAAAGCACUCAUGUGGCCAAAAGCCUCUUUCUGAGCAAACAGGAUGUGGACUAAAUUAGCAAAACAUCCAGCCCGUGGGCAACUUCAAAACGGAACAGGCUGCCUUUCUCUGAAACACAAAGCCCUGGCCUCCCUUUGGGGCACCCAGGACCCCGAAUUGCCCUAAGACUGUCCCAGCUCUCGAACCCUCUGCCUUCGCCCCCGGGGACCUCGGGCUCACAUCACAAGGCCCUGCGGGGAAGCAGAUGGCUCUCAGCAAAUGCACUUUCAGCUUCUGGCUGCCUGGGCUGGGUGACCCCGGUGCUUCCUUACCGUGAGUUCCUGAUGUCCUCGUGCCCAGAGGACCAGCCCAUUCCCAGGGCCCCCAGCCCGAGAACCUGCCUGCCUUGGGGGGCCCUGCCAGCUGCCUGCCACCAGCACCAGCAGACUUUGAUUCCCUUUUGUGACCCCUGGCACCUGCUUAUGUCUGCAUUUGCCCAUCUUCUCCGGGGUGGUAUUUAUUUCAGCCAACACCGUUCAGCCCUGAUCCCUGCCAGCACAGAGGCCCCUCGCUGCCUGUGAGGUCAAGGUCUGAGGCCACCCUGGCCGGUGGGUUCCCCACCCCUGGCCCCCAUCACCCUACAAGCGACAGGCCCUGUGGCUCCUUCCUCAGCCCAAGGCCCGGUGCCCAAUUGCUGUAGAGGAAGUUGUAAGAUAAAACCUCAUCUCCAGGGUCACGGCCGGGCCUCAGCCUCCUGCGGGCAGCAGGAACCUGGAAAGCAGCACCCAGAGUGCCAGCCCGUUCCACAGAUGGGGCCAGACUCCGGCCCCUCGGAGACAUAGUGGCAGGAUGGUGGGGGCGCAUGGGCCAGGGCUUCUGAGCCCCGUCUUCAUCUACAGCCCAGCCUUUCAGAGUGGUGGGAGGAGGGUUUAUGGAUGUCAAACACCUGCACCCUGAGAUAAUCCUACAACCACAUGCAGUUGUGGGACCACAGUUUGGUCCUGGGGACUAUUCAUACACACACCCAGCUUGUGCCUGUGGUUAACAUCUCAGAAAACGCUAGUAAAUGAUCACUCCAGGAUAUUGACACAAAUACAUGUUACUGAUCUUACUC